AAUAUUACACAAGGGGGGAAACGCUGAUGCAGCGACGCCGCGUGAGCGGAGAAGGCCUUCGGGUCGUAAAGCUCUGUCCUAAGGGAAGAAACGGUCGUUACCUUAGGAGGAAGCGCCGGCUACCUACGUUCCAGCAGACGCGGUAAUACGUAGGGGGCGAGCGUUAUGCGGAAUUAUUGGGCGUAAAGGGUGCGUAGCCGGCCUUUUAAGUCAGAUGUGUAAGGCUACGGCUUAAACGUAGGUAGCAGUUGAAACUAAAAGGCUUGAGUGCAGGAAGGGAGGGUGGAAUACCUAGUGUAGCGGUGAAAUGCGUAGAUAUUAGGAGGAACACCAGUGGCGGAGGCGACUCUCUGGACUGCAACUGACGCUGAGGCACGAAAGCGUGGGGGGCGAACAG
rnacentral:rRNA from 1 species